rnacentral:rRNA from 1 species
UACGUAGGUGGCAAGCGAUACUCGGAAUCACUAGGCGUAAAGCGCAGGUAGGCGGUUUGGUAAGUCUUUUGUGAAAGCUCCCGGCUCAACUGGGAGAGGCCAAGGGAAACUGCCGGGCUAGAGUGUGGUAGGGGAUACUGGAAUUCCUGGUGUAGCGGUGAAAUGCGUAGAUAUCAGGAGGAAUACCUAUGGCGAAAGCAGGUAGCUGGGCCAUCACUGACGCUGAGCUGCGAAAGCUAGGGGAGCAAACAGG